GCGGGAGGGGGGUUAAAAAAAAAAACGGGAUUCGGCAUGACAGUGCCGCUUUAAGACACUACUUCUCAGAGAAUGAACACCAAGACACGGCCCCAACCAUAGUCUGGGAGGCACACAAAUGUGUCAUGAGGGGGACGCUUAUAAAGUUGGCAUCAGACCACAGGCGCCAAAGAGAGAGUAGAGUGAACAACCUAUUAGAGGAGACUAAAAAACUAGAGGACCAACACAUCGGCGACCUGUCGAUCACGACAUAUAAAACACUGUUAACAAAAAGAUCAGAACUCGCCACCACACUACAACUCCAGGCAAAAAGGACAAUUGGCUUCACUAAACAUACAUAUUACACACAAGGUGGUAAAAGUGGCAGGCUCUUGGUCCAAGCCCUAAAACAAGAAAAGCCUUCAACCUUUGUAUCUGACAUUAAGCUGCAGGAUGGGACGGUCUCUCAGAAGAUGCCAGAGAUUCUAAAGGCCUUUAGAAAUUAUUAUACCGGACUCUACAAUCUCAGAGCCUCCCCUCCCGACCCCGCAGACAUAGAAAAGUUCCUCCAGGGGAGAAUCAAGUGGACCAUCACACCUAAUGUGCGACAAUUCUUAGAUGUUCCUAUCUCGGAGGAGGAACUCAGAUACGCUAUAAUACAGCUACCCUUAGGCAAAAGCCCGGGCCCGGACGGUUUUACAGGCAGAUACUAUAAGACACUGUCCCAGGACCUAUUACAGGCAUUUCUUAGAGCCUUUAACACAAGGGACCUAAAACACACUAUCCCACACUCCGCCUUAGAAGCCCACAUAGCACUGAUUCCCAAAGAGGGGAAAGAUCUGUCUAACUGCGGGAGCUAUAGACCCAUCUCGUUAAUAAACUUAGACCUGAAGUUAUUCACUAAGAUACUGGCCACUAGACUUAAGCCCUUACUCACGGAGCUCAUACAGGAGGACCAAGCGGGCUUUGUGCCUAAUAGGGAGGCGAAAAACAACACCACAAAGCUUAUCAAUUUGAUGCACUGGGCAAGGACCUCACACAAAGCCUCCCCCAGUCUACUUUUGUCAAUAGAUGCCGAGAAGGCUUUUGACAGAGUGGAUUGGUCCUUUAUGAUGGCCACGAUGAGAGGAUUGGGGUUUGGGGACAGGUGGAUGGAGUGGCUUGAAACUAUAUACUCCUCCCCCACAGCUAAAUUGAGAAUAAAUGGCCAACUAUCUGAGACAGUCCAAAUCCGAAAUGGAACGAGACAGGGAUGCCCUCUCUCGCCGUUAAUUUUUAUUCUAGUGCUAGAACCGUUCCUACAAGGGAUAAGAGAUAACCAUCAGAUAAAGGGAUUCGCUGUAAACAGCAUAGACUACAAGGUCUCUGCGUUUGCAGAUGAUCUUUUGUUCACAGUGGCGGACCCUCUUCACUCACUUACUCAAAUUCUCAGGGAAAUGGACUCCUACAGUACGGUCUCCAACUUUAAGGCAAAUCUCACCAAAUGCAAAAUUCUCCCAAUACUAAUCAAACCAGAACUAGAGGGGCAGAUCAAAUCGUCAUUCCCCUUCAGCUGGGCCACUAAGUCUAUAAAAUAUCUAGGGGUCCACCUCCCACGUAAAUUAGAACACAUAUAUGAACUGAACGUCCUCCCAAUCUUAAAAGCAAUCUCUGCAGAUCUGAUCAAAUGGCACAGACCGGGCUUUGGUUGGUUUUGCAGGGUUAACAUUAUUAAAAUGAAUGUGCUCCCUAGGCUACUAUACCCUCUCCAAACUCUACCCAUAGCUAUCCCUAAGUCUUUCUUUGAUGCGGUACGUAAAAACGUCAAUGCCUUCAUUUGGUCACACGCCCACCCCAGAUUGGCACACGCUUCCUUGACGAUCCCCCGUGAAGGUGGAGGAGUGGGUCUCCCAGACUUGGAACUAUACCACAAAGCCAUACACCUGGCCAGGAUAUACGAGUGGACUAAAGUGCCCUCUCCACACCAGUGGACGGCGAUAGAAAACUCAUUCCUAGAAACCCCUAUACAGACGUUACCCUGGCAUAAGACAGCCUGCCCUUUCAUACGUCAUAAACACUAUCCCACAAUAGAGGCCACUCUCAAGGUAUGGCAGCCCCUACACACCAACGAAACCAUGUCAAGCUUCCCAUCACCACUGUACCCAAUCACUCACAACCCCCACUAUGAGCCGGGUAAGACGGGCAUUCUAUUCAACCCUAAUCAGAAGAAAGAUUACAUCAAACUAAGGGAGGUGGCAAAAGAAGGUCGACUAUUACCAAUUCAAAUCUUAGCUGCUUCACAGACACCAUCAGGGAUACAGCAGUUACACUACGCCCAACUAACUCACUUUAUCCGAACCAUGCAACUCCUGCCAAAAGGAGAGAGAGAACUCACUGACUUUGAACAGUUGUGCUCCGAGCACAAACUGAAAAGAAAAGUGCUCUCCACAAUGUGCAAAUUAUUGCUCAAGCCCCGGGAACAGGAAUUGCCCGCUUUUGUGGGGAAAUGGUGUAAUGAAAUACAUUUAGAUAUCUCCAUCACCCAAUGGAGACAAAUAUUUUUGAGGGCCCAUAAAACAUCCACCUGCUUAAAUACACAGGAGGAAAACUAUAAGAUAUUGUCCCGUUGGCACUAUACCCCAGCCAAGCUACACAAAAUAUACACUACGACGCAGCACGCUUGCUGGAGAUGCCAGCAACCCAAUGCUCAUCCCGCGCACAUAUGGUGGGAAUGCACUCACAUACAAGCCUUCUGGAAUAGAAUGAUUAAGCUCAUUAACAUUGCCACAGGAAUAAAUAUACCAUUCUCCCCGGAAUAUGUAUUGUUCCUUCUCCCGCCCCCUGGAAUAAAGAAACAUACUUUAUCACUCAUUACACACCUCCUCACGGCAGCAAAUCUGCUAAUACCAAAACAAUGGAAACAGGCACAACCCCCCUCUGUCAGAGAAUGGUUUAGUAAGGUAGAAGGAAUAAAACAAAUGGAGGAGCUUACUUUCGCCACAACCAAAGACCUUCACACGUUCAACCGUAUAUGGGGACCCUGAAAUGAUUUCCUAAGUAAGGCAAAUAUGCCAGGUGAGCGUCCCGCCCCAGUAUAGUGAUACCCAACACAAUACGCACAUAGGUCCGGAGAGGCUCUAUCUAACUCUAUCUAAUACUAUCGCUGUAUUGAUUACUGAUAAUGGGAUAGUCAAACCGUUAAACUGAACUAUCUAAUCUCCUAUGUGUAAUCUUCUGUAGAAUCGCUCAAAUGAUUACUGACAACGUGAUAACUAAUCGGUUAAACUGCAAUAUGUUAAGUCCUACAUAAGAACGCUGUGAUAAUAAUUGUCAAUGCGAGAGUUAAACGGACAAACUGCACUUUUCAGGUUCCUAUGUGAAGAAAUAAUCCGACAACACACGUGACAAGGGUUAUGUAGCUCAUUUUACUGUUAAAAAUUGAUUGUUCAUCUUAAAUAUGUACAAAGCCUAACAACUUGUAAUUGUAUAACGUUGCAUUUAUGAUGUAAUUUUCUGUUGAAAAACGAAUAAAAAGAAAAUAAAUAAAAAAAAAUAAAUAAAA
rnacentral:lncRNA from 1 species